UACGUAGGUGGUGAGCGUUAUCCGGAAUUAUUGGGCGUAAAGAGCGCGCAGGUGGUUGAUUAAGUCUGAUGUGAAAGCCCACGGCUCAACCGUGGAAGGUCAUUGGAAACUGGGGAACUUGAGUGCAGAAGAGGAGAGUGGAAUUCCAUGUGUAGCGGUGAAAUGCGUAGAUAUAUGGAGGAACACCAGUGGCGAAGGCGACUCUCUGGUCUGUAACUGACGCUGAGGUGCGAAAGCGUGGGUAGCAAACAGGAUUA
rnacentral:rRNA from 1 species